rfam:Brachypodium distachyon strain Bd21 chromosome 1, whole genome shotgun sequence.
AUAAUACUCUCUCCGUCCAACAAAGAAUGUUUUAAUUUUGACUAAAUUUGAAUGCAUCUAUACACUAAGUCAUGUAUAGAUACAUCCAAAUUUUGACAAACUUGAGACAUCUUUUGUUGAACGGGGAAAAUAAGUG